rnacentral:tRNA from 1 species
GGGCGCAUAGCUCAGUUGGUAGAGCAGCUGACUCUUAAUCAGCGGGUCGAGGGUUCGAAUCCUUCUGCGCCCACCA